ensembl:lncRNA ACAD9-DT ACAD9 divergent transcript
GCCUGAUGACGUCACACGCCUACGCUUCCCGCCGGCCCCACUGCGCUUGCGCGGCCAAAGGAGCUGGCCGGAGGAAAUUGUAGGCCCUGGGCCGCGGGCAUCUCGGCGGGUAUAAUCUCUGGCCGUCGUGACGGCGGUGACGGACCUGUUUUUCACAUACCAGCGGUUGUUUCCAUAAAUGCCAGCCAUGGGAAAUCUCCCUGUGUACAGAAACCUAAAGGCCGGCUCAGCUGCCUCCACUUGUCUCUUUUGUCACUUGUGGCCACGAGGCCGUGGUAAAACUUGAGAAAAGCAAAAGAAUGAGGGAAAUGCGCUGUAUUGGGGUCUCUGCAGGGGCACGGUAAGGGUAAGGGUCCAUUUUUAACUGGAUGGUGGAUUCCUGAGAUACUGUUUUGUUCCUAGUUGACAUGUAUGUUACAUAUAUUUUUUGGAAAAG